UAGUCUGCUGGCAGGUAAAGCUGGUGAACUCUAUUCCACCUUUAGCACUGAUACCAUAAGCGUCCCCUCUCUCCUAAAAAGGGCUCUCCUGACUGGUUUUGACAAGAUUUCUAGGCUGAGCCCAGCUGCAACAUUGAGUGAGGAAGAACCCUAUAGCACUGAUACCAUAAUCGUCUUCUCUCCGACAAAGGGCUCUCCUACAAAGGGCUCUCCUGACUGGUUUUGACAAGACUUCUAGGCUGAGCCCAGCUGCAACAUUGAGGGAGAUAUGUACAAGUUUUCCGCUUCAUUACUGGGACACCUUUGUAAAGAGAACACCACCUGACCAUCACCCCUCGUUCUGGAUCGUUUGGCCACUCCCGAGCGAUACUUCGCUUACUUCUCUACCACGUAUGUCUCGGGUAUCCUGCUUCUUCCGGUCACCACAUCUCGAGGCCUCAGUGAACACCUAACCGAGUCUACCUCGAGCCUCGCCAACGCAAGACGGCAGAGAACUCCCUAGACUCUCCAAGGACUGGCUUCUCCUCUGCUGCCCUGGAUUCCCCAUCUACCUGCUUCCCGGCGCCGUCAACGAGUCUGCCUCCAGUGUUGGGUAGUGGACGCCGCCCUGUCGCCGCCGCGCCGUCCUUUGCCUAUUGACAGAAGGAAAAGCAAGAGACAGAGGGGACAGGACAGGCUGCGAAGGGCAGGUCAUUAGUAGCACACCUUCUAACCUGUGUCGCUUAUCACGUGGGAGGGACGAGUGUUCUGUGCCACCCGCUAAAGGCUCACUUACAAUGCUUCAGGAGGCCUCUCAGCACUCGCGGCGGAAACGAUUCCCUGAAGAGCGACUAUUGUCGGGCCAGCCGCUCAGACGGCCUCUUCCUAUUUCCGGCCCCUCCAAGGUGAGGGUUUUCCUGCACGGCUGCGGCAGAGGCGGCGACGGUGGUGGCGGCAGAGGCGGCGACGGUGGUGGCGGCUGGUCGGUGUUGAUCUUCAGCUGAUGUUAAGUAGCAAUAAGGUAAAGCCUACGCAGGUUACUGCUUCCUUAUUCUCCUCCACCUUCCUAUUCUGGGACCGUCUUAAACCUGACCCUCCACCACCUCGCCGCCACCACGUCACCUGCUCCACCAAGCCGCCGACCACCCGCCGUGCCACCAUCACAGGAACCACCACCACCACCACAUCGUUACUUUCCUGAAGCUAAUAAUCACUUUACACAUAUUGUUUCGGAUCUGAACCGUGACAGAUAACAGAAAACGAGCUAUAGAUCUCUAAAUGUGUCUAAGCUAUUCUUGUACCUCAAGUCUUUGUUGCAUAUU